rnacentral:rRNA from 16 species
UCAAGUUAAUAAGAGCUUUGGGUGGAUACCUAGACAUUCAGAAGCGAUGAAGGGCGUGGUUACCGACGAAACACUUCGGGGAGCUGGAAACAAGCUUAGAUCCGGAGAUUCCCGAAUGAGGAAACUCUUAAUACUUUUUUUUCGAAUAUAUAGAUUAAAAAGGGCGAACCUGGUGAACUGAAACAUCUAAGUAACCAGAGGAAAAGAAAGCAAUAGCGAUUCUCUUAGUAGCGGCGAGCGAAGCGGGAACAGUCUAAACUAAACUAUAUGUUUAGGGUUGCGGGAGAGACUUUUAAAGUUUUUUAAAUUGUUAGAUGAAGCGUUUGGAAUAACGCACCAUAGGAAGUGAUAGUCUUGUAAUCGAAAACAAAAUAAAAAAUUCGUCUUUUUCCCAAGUAGGAGGGGACAAGUGAAACCCCCUUUGAAUCUACGAGGACCACCUCGUAAGACUAAAUAUUACUGAAUGAUCGAUAGUGCACCAGUACCGUGAGGGAAAGGUGAAAAGAACCCCGGGAGGGGAGUGAAAAGAACAUGAAACCAAAAGCUUACAAGCAGUAGGAGGACGACUAUAACGUCUAACUUCGUUCCUGUUGAAGUAUGAGCCGGCGACUUGUAGGUAGUGGCAGGGUUAAGGUAUAACG